UCUUUAUUUAUUGCAGACAAUACUGAUGCGGACAAAGUUCUGGAUGAGUACUCAAGACUUAGACUUGGUGGCUAUAGACCGGCGUCAGCCGAGACACUGACCGACGACACGUGGAUAAGACCAACCACCCGGGCAGCUGUCUGAGUCAUUGAGGCGAACAUUGGAAGGAUGAAAGGAUUGUACAAGUCUUACGUUAUAAUAUGUGAUAUGUGAAUAAGCCUUUUUGAGACUCUAAGUUACACAUUCGAAAAUGCGACCAAACUCUACAGCUAUGACUUAAGUAUAAUAAAUAGGAGCACAGCGACAUACAUUUUAAUAGCAUAUGUUUUUAUUGUGAUAAGGCCAUAACAAAUUUGAUUUACACCGGUCAUCCUCAAGUGAUUAUCAUGGAAAACCCCAUAACGCGAAUGUCGUGAGUUAGAUUCCCAUACUGGCCACCAAUUAUGUAACACAUCUUGAUGCUUAUGAAUGUGCUGUAUAUUAAUGUGUCUACUACAUGCCAAUAAAUAUGUCUUCUCUUCUCGUGUGUUGCAUUAGUUCUGCUGACGCGGAUGUCGUGUGGAGCUUCUAACUCGUGUAGCACAACAGAUAUUAGAGAAGACUAAAUAACACACUUGUCAGCAGACGAUAUAUAUUUAUUAAUAUAAAAUAAUACAUAGGCGAUCCAGUCACAAUGGCGUAACGAAUAACUGUAUAUAAUAUCAUUAAUAUGUCACAAACCA
rnacentral:sRNA from 1 species